UACGUAGGCAGCGAGCGUUGUUCGGAAUCACUGGGCUUACAGAGUUCGUAGGCGGUCUGGAAAGUUGGGUGUGAAAUCCCUCGGCUCAACCGAGGAACUGCGCUUGAAACUACCAGACUCGAGGGAGAUAGAGGAAAGCGGAACUGAUGGUGGAGCGGUGAAAUGCGUUGAUAUCAUCAGGAACACCGGUGGCGAAGGCGGCUUUCUGGGUCUUACCUGACGCUGAGGAACGAAAGCUAGGGGAGCGAACGGG
rnacentral:rRNA from 1 species